ACUCCUGCGGGAGGCAGCAGUGGGGAAUAUUGGACAAUGGGCGCAAGCCUGAUCCAGCCAUGCCGCGUGAGUGAUGAAGGCCCUAGGGUUGUAAAGCUCUUUCACCGGUGAAGAUAAUGACGGUAACCGGAGAAGAAGCCCCGGCUAACUUCGUGCCAGCAGCCGCGGUAAUACGAAGGGGGCUAGCGUUGUUCGGAUUUACUGGGCGUAAAGCGCACGUAGGCGGACUAUUAAGUCAGGGGUGAAAUCCCGGGGCUCAACCCCGGAACUGCCUUUGAUACUGGUAGUCUUGAGUUCGAGAGAGGUGAGUGGAAUUCCGAGUGUAGAGGUGAAAUUCGUAGAUAUUCGGAGGAACACCAGUGGCGAAGGCGGCUCACUGGCUCGAUACUGACGCUGAGGUGCGAAAGCGUGGGGAGCAAACAGGAUUAGAAACCCCGGUAGUCCCAUGAU
rnacentral:rRNA from 1 species